rnacentral:rRNA from 1 species
UACAGAGGUCCCAAGCGUUGUUCGGAUUCACUGGGCGUAAAGGGUGCGUAGGCGGUCGGGUAAGUCUGAUGUGAAAUCUCACAGCUUAACUGUGAAACUGCAUUGGAUACUAUUCGGCUUGAGAGUUGGAGGGGGACUGGAAUUCUUGGUGUAGCAGUGAAAUGCGUAGAUAUCAAGAGGAACACCGUGGCGAAGGCGAGUCCCUGGACAACUUCUGACGCUGAGGCACGAAAGCUAGGGGAGCAAACAGG